UUACUUGGAAGACUAUUUUAUUAGAGUAAAAAACCACCACUGCAAAAAACAACGAGACAAAAAAAUUUCACCGUAUAAAAAAUUAUUACAACCACUCUCUGAUUAUUUUAUCUCACACCCAAACCCCAAUUACGCCCAAAUCUUCCCACACUCUCUUUUCACUGCCUCUCCCGUUAUUCACUUUCCUCUCUCUCUCUACAAUUCAGUGAGUUCUCAAUUUAUAGACAUUGGGGCUUUCUCAUUGUCAAAGAAAACGGUCCUGGAUGAACAAAUCUUGCAGCCACCAAAUCAGGUUGAUAUCUUCGACCAGCUUGCUGACAUCUUACCAGGCCUUUGACGUAGCAUUUAUUGUGCAUCCAUGAAAGUCCAGAAAAUCUUUGCCUGCAUUAACACUGAUCCAUUCAUUCAAAUGCAAGAGAAGUCAAAGAGAUUAUGCCAGCAUUUAAUGCCCAUGCAAGUUUCAAAUGAAACUAACUAAAUUUUCAGCAAAACGCAUGUAAAUUGUUAGUUCCUUUUUCAACUUUUUUACUGCAAAUAAAUAUUAAACUAUUUCAAGUCACUUCAUCCAUUAGUAACAGGAAAGAACUUGUAUUACUGAAUUUAGAGACACAUCACAACUAUGCAUUAUCAAAAUGAUGUUUUGAAAGCCUAAUUUAAGAAAUAGUACAUUAUCAUUUUGAACAUUAUAAAUGGAUAUAUAAUAAAUUAAGUGUAAGAUCAACGUACUUUUAGUAAACGACACUGUGUGGAUCAGUAAUCCUCCUUUUCUUUCUAAUUUUCUUUGCCAGUAUGAAUCAUUUUACUUUGCUUCACUAGAAAGUACUGUAAAUGGCUUCCUUUGGCCGAUAAGUAUUUAGGUUAUUUGACUUGUAAUUAAGGUCCAUUUGUCAAUCUACCUUCCCACACUCUCUUUUCACUGGCUCUCCCGUUAUUCACUUUCCUCUCUCUCUCUACAAUUCAGUGAGUUCUCAAUUUAUAGACAUUGGGGCUUUCUCAUUGUCAAAGAAAACGGUCCUGGAUGAACAAAUCUUGCAGCCACCAAAUCAGGUUGAUAUCUUCGACCAGCUUGCUGACAUCUUACCAGGCCUUUGACGUAGCAUUUAUUGUGCAUCCAUGAAAGUCCAGAAAAUCUUUGCCUGCAUUAACACUGAUCCAUUCAUUCAAAUGCAAG
rnacentral:lncRNA from 1 species